CCGGCCAAACACAUGCUCUGCCCUUGACUCAAAGGGGUCUCCACCGCCAACACCCCUCCCGGGGCUUUCCUCCCUGGCCACAGCAUUGCUAUCCCCACCCUAUCUCUCUGUGAGUGGCCUUGAGGGGGUCCUCUUUCCUGAACCCCAACUUGAGUAAGACGUCCCUCCCACACGCCUUCAGGGAAAGCUGUGUGUUUGAUACUGUUGCUGUAGUAGCACAGACCACACUGCUGUCUGCUGGGAACACGGGCUGGCCCGUGGCACAGCAGGUACAUGCUUCCUCUGUCAUGAAUAAAAUGGGAAAAAAAGACUUAAACAGCAAAGGGGAAGAAGUAUGCAAGAGAGGACCCGGGACACCCCGUGAGCAGAUUUCCACGUUCUCCACGUCUGAGGAGCUUGCCAAAGGGACCGUACACUCACCCAAGGAAGACACGCAGAGAGAAACGGAAGCCGACGGGUCACGGAGGCCAGCAAUGCGUGAGCACAUAAACGCAUCACCAGUGAGAAGCCAAGUGGGAGACGUGCUCGGUGGGCAGAGGGCAUCACCAGAGCUGUGUGGAGAGGUGUCCCAGGCUGGAGCAGCCAGCGAGGGGCUGACAGGAAGGAGAUGGAAAGUGGUUGGACUUCGAGGGCCGAGUAGG